rnacentral:misc_RNA from 1 species
AAUUCUCAACUUCAUCAGUUUUGUUAUGAGACUGUGUGAAGCUUGGAUGUGGGGGUUUGUGCAGAAUGCUUGACUGUAGACUGCUCCCCUUAAAUAAAUUAGCGAGUUCAAACUGAGCUCCGUCUAUUGGUGUGAUAAUUAUCUACGCCGUGGAUUGGACUUAGACUUGCUUCUAACCGUCCGCAAGGACAAUCUUUUGACA